ensembl:lncRNA
GUUACAAGACAGUGACUCGGAAAAUUUGCACAGAGAUUUAUUUUGCUUUUUUCUAUGCUGAACAUAAGAAGCAAACUAAUAUUUUAAUAAAUUAUUAAAAAGUUAAAAAAAAGUUUCUCCAUAGAAAAGAGAAAGUAAACAUUGAGGAAUUCAUCAAAGUUAAUACAGAAGUUUUGAAAGUACAUAAUCAUUUAAAAUAGGAAGCAGCUAGGGAAAAGGAAAAUCAGGAAACACGUCCUGGUUGUUUACAUAACCAUUCUGUCUUUUCAGCCAAGAAAGCUCUAGCUGCUCAAAUGUUGAGCGCCACUAGAAUAGUGACAAUGGCCAGACCCGUAUGGCUUUUGCGCAGCGGCGGACUGGGCAGUGCGCUCUUCGCCACGGAAGGUGGCGCUGCUGGGCCUGAUGGGGACAGACUCUCCUGGACCCAACCAGGAUGGUUGAAAAGAAACUUGGGAUUUGUACAGUGAAUUCCCGGGGGUGACUCCUCUCUAGUCCACCACAAAGGCGGGAAAUAAAGCCGGCCUCCGGGGACAAAGCGGCGCCUCCACCCACGCAGCUGCGGGGCGCCGGGCGGAGGGGAGGAGGUGGAGAAAGGCGGAGGACGGUUGCCAUGGCGACGAGCCAGCAUCUGAAGCGGCUGAAAGGACUCUUUGUUUUGAAGCCAGCUGACGGGUGGUGCGGUUUCUAAGGUACUUCUAAACGCCUCGGUCCAGGAAAGACGGGUCGGGCCGGAGUCACCUGGGAUGCGCUGCGGGACGAGCGGCUCCCACGCGGGCCUGCCCUCCGAUGGCGCCAGACACCUGCUUCCCGUCAGCGACUCCGCAGAUUCUUCCUAAGGACUGGGAGAGCGGGCUCAGGAAAGCCACUCAGAAUCACGUCGCUGGAAGAAAAGCAGAAAGGGACCUCCGUAGAGAGACUAGAAGUUUCCAGAGCUAGUCUCUCCACGGUCAGAGCCGGUCCCUGGUGACGAACUGAAGGAAGUGGUUGCUUGGGCAGCUGUGAGACCAGCGGUUGGAGUCCGGGAAAUGAAAACUCUCCGAACAGCCUGCAGGUUUCAGUUUUGCCUGGUGUACUAGGCGUUGUCUGUAGAAGCAAAAGCAAAAGUUUAAAUAAGGAACUUAAAAUAAAGCUGCGUUUGUUUGAAUAUUCGCUUUCUAUAGGAUUUAGAACACUUGAGGACAUCUGAACCUUUUAUUUAAUACUUUAUUUUUUUUUGUUUUUCGAGACCAGGUUUCUCUGUGUAGCUUUGGAGGCUGUCCUGGCACUCGCUCUGGAGACCAGGCUGGCCUCGAACUCACAGAGAUCCGCCUGCCUCUGCCUCCCGAGUGCUGUGAUUAAAGGCGUGUGCCACCAACGCCCGGCUACUUUAAUGUUUUAAAGUGUGCAGGCAUAAACUAAUACCAUUAGCCCACAGACAGGUAAAGGCAAACCAAACAGCAAAGCCUGCCUGUCUUCUCACUUUGUAGGGUGUGGAAGGAGACCUUGAUCAUUUGAGGAGCACAUUGUGUAAUCCAGCCACGACAUCUUUCUUUCACCAUGGAAGUUGUAGAGACAGUUUGUACGCAGCAAAGGAUUGUCUCAAAGGUUUGGGUUCAUGGUCUCAGUUUUGGGCUUGUAGCCAAAUCUAUCAAGCGGUAUGGCGGAGAAGCCACUACUUUGGCUAUUUUCGUCACAGUGGGAAGCAAAGACAGAGGUAGGAUGGGGUCUACCUUCCAACACCCCUUUCAAAGACACUCCCAAUCUUUUGCUUCCGUCCAGGAGGCCCCUCGUCCUGGUUCAGCCACCUUCUAAUACAUCGUGGACUGGGGAUCAAAUCUUCAAUACAUAGACUUUUUUGAGGGGGGGUCUCAAAUCUUAACUAUAUCACAGGGACCCUAAAUUAAGCAGAUAUAGACAUUACAUGAAAGCAUUUUUCUCCUUACAAAAUGGUGUACUAUCAGUGAAAUAAUUAACUUUUAAAGAAUCUAAGAGAGAAAUAACAGGAGGAGAGAAAGAACAUGAAGUUGGGUGGGUAAGGAGGUGGGGAGGACCUGGGGGAGUUGGGAGGAGGAACCAAUCAAAUAAAAAUAAUAAAAGUAAAAAUGUAUUUUGCUAUUUGUGCGUGUGCGUGCACACACAUCCACAGCACACAUGAGGGUAGAGUACAGCGCUCAGGAG